rnacentral:lncRNA from 1 species
CCUAACAACAGAAAAAGUUAGUAGUUAUUUUCAAAAUUUUCCCCAACCCCUGCUUUAUUCAUUAGAACCUUCCAUUUUCUUCUCUUCACUGUAUCAAUAAUGUUUUAGAUCUAGUAAUGGUGCCUUAAUUACAGGAUAGAGAAUCUUAACCUGGGACUACAGAUCAUGAAUGGACUGUAGAAGUCUGUGAACCUCGUGGUAAUUUACAGAAAUUUAAAUGUAAAAGGUAGAAUAAUAAGAAAUUUCAACUAUUUAUAAUCCAUGAAAAUGGCAAUUUUAUGUGAUUAAACCUAAUACAUUUUGGAGAGGGUGGUCUAGGGAUCAUUAGAGGAAGAAACUCGUGACCUAAAAAAUAAAAACUUCUAAUUAGAAGAUUCAGGCAUAUAUUAUUAAAUUUUACUUAGAGUUUGACAGCAGCUAUUGAUGAUUUUGAGGCUUUUUUCCCCUGAAUCAUUUGAUUUACAAUUUAUAUAAAACUACUUGAAUAUAUUCUGACAAAAACUGCCAUAUUAUAAAAUAUACUUAAUGGGAUACACUUAAAACAUAUAAGGAAACCAGUAUAAAAUAAAUAAUUUUUACAAAAUAUAUCUGUAGAUACGAAGAUUAAGAUUUUAUUAAAAAUAUUUUUUUUAAGUUCAUUUUGUGUGUGUGUGUGAGAGAGAGAGAGAGAGAGAGAGAUAAUGAGGGGGAGGGACAGAAAGAGAGACAGACAGAGGAUCUGAAGUGGGUUCUGCACUGACUACAGAGAGCCUGAUGUGGGGCUCGAACCCUGAGAUCAUGACCUGCGCUGAAGUCAGAUGCUUAACUGACUGACCACCCAGGUGCCAAGAAUUUAUUUUAAUUCAGUAUAGACUUGGACCUCAUAAUAUAAUUCAUGUUUAUAGCAUACUAUAGUAACUAUGUUUUUUCAAAACAUAUUUACUUGGUCUCAGUGUAGAGGUCAAAUAAGGUUACAAAAUGAAGGCAGUAUUCAAGUGUUUGAGCAACAAUCCAUUAAAAAAAAACUAUAUAAUUUAAAUAUGUAAAAAAAAAAAAUCUUCCCACAAUAAACAGAAGAGUUGUUUUCUAAAUUAGGCACUAAUGCUUCUCCAAGCUUAAAUGCCAUUCAUUUCUGGUGUGUUUCAGUGUACCUUCAUAGUAAAGUUGCAAAGAAUAACAACUACUAUAAAUAAAAACUUGCUGUGUGAUGUGCUUGGUGUUAAGUUGUAUAAUUAAUUCCCACAAUAAACGUAUACCUAUAAACGUAGGUCUUUUGUAACUUUUAUAAUCUUUACGAAGGAUAAACCUAAAGCUUAGUUCAGUUAAGUGACUGGCCUAGAACCAUAUAGCUAAGCAAGUGACCUAGAAUCUGAAACCAUGUAUGUUCUAAUUCUAGAAUUUCUAUUCUCAAUCACUGCACUAGUCUUCCAGAUGGUAUAAUUGUAAUUUUUUUAAUGUUUAUUUUUGAGAGAGAGAGAGAGAGAGAGACAGACAAACAGAACACAAGCAGGGGAGGGACAGAAAGAGAGGGAGACACAGAGUCCAAAGCAGGCUCCAGGCUCCGAGCUGUCAGCACAGAGACUGAUGUGGGGCUCGAACUCAUGAACCAUGAGAUCAUGACCUGAGCUGAAGUCAGAUGGUUAACUGACUGAGCCACCCAGGUGCCCCGUAGAUGGUAUAAUUAUAAUAAUACAAUAAUGGUAACAGUAAGUAAGCACAGAAGAUGGACCCCAGAGCUGUUAGAUUCCAAAGCUUGUACUUUAACUACUGUAUGAUAUUCUCUCUUUGGAUAGGAAAGCUGAAAUAAAUGAGUUAUAAGUAGUUAUUGAGAUUUCACAGAGAUAGUGAGAAGUUCUAGCCUCUUAAAGGCUUUAAAACCCUGUCAUAGAUCAUAAAAAAAUCCAUGAUGAGAACAAAUCUGUAUUUUCCUAAUUAAGUAUCGUGUGAUAGCUUUUAUUUGCUCUUUAUAAAACUAUACAGGAAUUUCCCAUAAUUGGCUCACAAAAUGAAAAGGCCAGUUGUUAACUUUUUUAUAACAAUCUUCAUUAUUACUCAAAGCAAUAUUCCUAUUUCCAGACUUUUUCCUCUUCACUUACAUAAUUUAAAUGGCAUUCAAGAAGAGAAUAAGAGAAGAUCCAGGUUCCUUUUAUUUUUCAUUUUGCCUUAUCCCAUCAGUUUUAUAAAGUGGUACUGCUACUUUCCUUCUCUUCCACUCACAACAACGAUAUAGCUUAGAGACCCUACAUAGUUGGAGCAGUCUUGUAUUUCUUUCUUUCUUUCUUUUUAUAAAAUUUACUUAUUUAUUUUGAGAGAGAGAGAAAGAGUGGAGGAAUGGCAGAGAGAGGGGGGACAGAAGAUCCAAAGUGGGCUCUGUGCUGACAGCAGGGAGCCCAAUGUGGGGCUCGAACUCACAAACUGUGAGAUCAUGACCUGAACCAAAGUCAGACAGUUAACCAACUGAGCCACCCAGGCACCUCAGUCUUGUAUUUCUUUAUUCAUCCUAUACAGCUACCAGUCUGAUACUGGGUACUAAGCAAUUCUACUGAUAGUUAAGACUCACUAUUGCUAGUCAUAAUACCUUGAUUUUUCUUCCUUCUCCUUUACUAGGUGGGAGGUAGUAAAGUUCCAGUUCACUAAACUGAAACACUGGUUCUGAGAGAAUCUGCUCUAGAACUACAAUUAAAGAGCUUGGGGUUAAAUUAGAAGGAUCUAACCCUUCUCAUAGAACCCAUUAAGGCUUACCCCUAGAACACCAAUGAAUGACUUCCAUGAUCCCUUUUAAUUCUGAUAGUCCAUGAAAUGGUAAUAAGUAAGGUAUGAGCUGAUAAGGACAUGGCUCUUCAGUAGUAGCUCAUCCUAACAUGUUUUUAAUUCACAUUUCUAGGGUCAAGUACUAACCAAUCUGCUAAUCUCCUCUUGUCUAUCUGGCGCAGAUCUUGCUGUUGCUUUGAUCAUAGUGGAAGUCUGAUUGUCCGUUAGCUUCUUGAUACAUCGUUGCCCGGCCACGAUAUUACAGACCUACAAAUGGAAAAAAGUUUUGUACUAGAUGCAUAUAUCUUUUUUUAACUCUCAUUGGUAAUUACAUGUGAAAUUAAAAUUUCUUAAAAU